CCCCUCCAGACAAAGCAGUGUCCAGUAAUGACAAAGUAAUUACCUUUUUAUUAUUUUUCAAUAGGAUUCAGAUCUAGUAUGUCUGUUCCUCAUGGGCCUGGCUGUUCUGAUGGCUCAAAGCUUUCAUCUCACUGACACGCUGGCUUGAUGCUAAAUGCUCCGAGAGGGUGUGGGAUCGUCAGCCCUGCAAGCUGAGAUGCAGCUGUUGCCACUUCGGAACAGGCCUGGGCGAAAUUCUAUGCAGAGGCUUGUGGGGCUUCAAGAAUGAAUCUCCGCAAAGGGCAGUGAGGUCUUUGGAUGGAGAGCGCUAGAGAUGUCCAGCUCAGAAAUGCUUCAUUCUCCGCGCACCCGGCAAGGCCUGCAUGGCAGGAGAUGUGAAGGGAGGUGAUUAUGGGAGACUAUUUCCCCUUGCUGCUCAUUCACAACAAACAAAGAGCAAUGAUUGAUGAUUAAAAAUGCAUU